GACGAACGCUGGCGGCGUGCUUAACACAUGCAAGUCGAACGGAAAGGCCCUGCUUUUGUGGGGUGCUCGAGUGGCGAACGGGUGAGUAACACGUGAGUAACCUGCCCUUGACUUUGGGAUAACUUCAGGAAACUGGGGCUAAUACCGGAUAGGAGCUCCUGCUGCAUGGUGGGGGUUGGAAAGUUUCGGCGGUUGGGGAUGGACUCGCGGCUUAUCAGCUUGUUGGUGGGGUAGUGGCUUACCAAGGCUUUGACGGGUAGCCGGCCUGAGAGGGUGACCGGCCACAUUGGGACUGGGGUACGGCCCAGACUCCUACGGGAGGCAGCAGUGGGGAAUAUUGCACAAUGGGCGGAAGCCUUAUGCAGCAACGCCGCGUGCGGGAUGACGGCCUUCGGGUUGUAAACCGCUUUCGCCUGUGACGAAGCGUGAGUGACGGUAAUGGGUAAAGAAGCACCGGCUAACUACGUG
rnacentral:rRNA from 1 species